AAAGUGAUUUGCAACCUAGAACUCUAUACUCAAACUCUUAAUCAAAUGAAAAGUAGAAUAAGACAUUUUCAGAUAAGCAAAGUCUCAAAAACGUUGACCUCCCUUGUAUCUUUCCUCAGGAAGCUAGGAUAUACCACAAUGAAAAAAUGGAGUACAUCAUGAAAUGUGACAACAUCAGCUCUGGGAAACAUGAGAUCCAACAGGGAAGACAGCUUCAACCACACAACACCAUUGGAGGACCCUCUACUCAAAGAA